rnacentral:lncRNA from 1 species
GAAUUAUACGAAGGACCUGGCCGCAAGAAGGCAUUGAGCCCCGAGGAGGACAACAGGCCUCAGCUCUUGGCACCAAGUAACUAUGAAGACUCUGAGAACUGGACCAUCCCAAGGCUGUAGCUUUCUUCAAGCCUGGCAGGCUCUGUCGUGGUGAAGAGUCUGAAGGCUUUUUCUUUUCCAGUAACACAGGAGGUGAUUGAAUGGAAGGAGUGGCCAGUCACUCUUUGGCGUCCAGGAUCCAAGAAGAAACAGAUGAGGAGGAAGGAGGAUAAACAACUUCUGGACAAAGCGAGGACAUUGUGACUUUGAGGCCUCUUACCUCUGCAAACUAGCCAGGAGAAAAGCUGUGACUGAAGAAACUGCCUCCUCCAAAGUUUCUGGGCCCUGCCCUUCACAGGGCAAUGUUCCCAGCUAUGGUAAGAAGCAAAGAGAAGACAAAGACCAAAGCCUGAGGCAGAAGCUGAAUAACCUGGUGGUCACAAGAAAGCAAAGGGAUUUUUAUGUGACAUCAUCUUGGCAAGAAGCUCCCUUACCAACCUUGACCUCCAGGUCUCCAUGGCAACUGCUGCUGGGACAUCAUUGGCACCAGAUUGUGUCCCUUAAAGGCCACACUGCAGCAAGGGCAGAUAAACAAUUUCAUGGCAACAGUCACGUAGCAAUCUCAUUCUUAAAUGUGGGCUGGUUAGUUAGGAUGAUGUAAGUGGUUUUUUCCACUCUCUUCCGCAUUCUGACUCCAGAAUUCUGGGCCUAGGACAUAGUCAAAGAAUGUACCUUGGGGUAUGAGGUAAGAAAACAGGCUGGGGUGGGACUUGAAGAAGUACCUUCUUCUAGACACAGGGACAGAUUCUUUUUCCUUUCCCAGUUGAGAGUUCAUUUUCUGUCUCGGUUCAACAAAGGCAUGUUAUCUUUAUAUAAAGGAAGCUGUAAUAGACAGUCUCCAAGAUGGCAGCCUUUAGUUCUUUCCCUCCUCAGAUUCAUGAGCUGCUUCUCACCUCUUAAAUCUGGU